AGCUGGAAGAAACGAAGAACCUCAACAAUUUUUAUUUCUACUUUUGAUCAAGGAAAAGCGUAUUUAGAAGGUUCGCUAGAGAAAAAUUUAGCAGUUUGGAGGAUUGAGAUCCUUUGGCAGAGAUAUGGGAGUGUGAGCAGGAAAUAUUUUUUUAAAGGAAGAGCUGGUGUUUUAGGAUGUCAAAGGUACAAAUUAUGAUGGUGCCAUGGUUGACAGAAAUUUGCAAGAUCUCCGUAUCUACAUGAACUCUUUGCUCCUGACUAUUAGCUGACUGGUCCAGAAAUUCUUGAUCCAAGCUUGAUAUGUAAGCUUCUCUCUCCUGUGAAUAUGGCACUGAGAGACACAAGAUUAGAAGCCCUGGGUGCUGAUCAAACUCAUAGCAAGGAAGAGUGGUGGCUCAAGACUGCCUGCUCCUGAGACUUCUGAGAAGGGUGUCUCUCUGUCUGUGUGGAUGCCUGAUGCUUCUGGUAUUUCACAAAUCUUGAGCCUGGCCAGGAGUUUACUAACAGGCACCCCUGUGUCAUCUGAACAAGUAACUGGAAGAACCUAACACAGACACCUGUAGGGCAGGACUCCUUAUUUUCUGACUCCCUGGCUCUGACCACAGAUAAAUAUCCCGCAGUGGAAUCAGCCUUCCCAGGGACCUCCCUGGACUCUGAGAAGUGAUUAAAGGGACUGUGCGGCAGUCAUGGGGAUGCAAGCAGCUGUGGCCAUCAAACUGGUUCUAACAGACAGUAUGAGAUCUUCAUGAUUCUGGACCAUAAGGAUUCCAAAUAGGCUGUUCACUUAUGAGUAGGCCUGUAACACGGACGUGUGAGAAUAAACGCCAGAGAAAAAUUUUUGAGGUCUUCUCAAGUUUCCAGAGUAUUCAUAGACUGACUAAGACAUGGGUAAGUAAAUAUACCAAAGGUGAAAAAAAGGAAAAGUUGAGGAAUGUCAUUUCCCCUGAAGGAGAUUUUUCAAUAAGCAGGUGAGAGGUAUGGGAAUGUGUUUAGAAUGUGUUCUAAGAACGUUUUGUUCUAAACAGGACUGGAGUAGGGUGUCUGUAGUGAUGGUGAGACCAGUGACCCCUUGGCAGUGUGAAAGUUGAAUGAAAUAUCAGUGAGAGUUUUGCUUGGCCAUGGAAUCGUUGUUACAUAAUGUUGCUCCUCAGUGACAGAAAGGAAAAAUGGCAUUAUUGUCAAACAAUAUUUGUUUUUAAACCUAGGUAGACUUGACAAUGUUUAAGAUGCUAAAGAAAAUUAAAACUCUUUCCCUUUAGGGAAAUUAAAGUUUGAAAGACAACAUGAUUGGCAACCUGUAUAGUAAUUUUUAUUUCUGUUUUCCAAAUAAAAGAAAUUAGAAGACUGUACCUUUUUAUUCUCUGCCCUCUGACACUGAUCUUUUCUUUCUUCUGUUGCAAGUAAGUGUUUGGUGGUGAGGAAAGGUGAGGAGGUGUAUGGGCGUGAGGAAAGGUGAGGAGGUGUAUGGGCGUGCUUUCAUUGUAGAAGAGACAAGGCAGCUGAUUAGAGAAAACAAAGCUGGUUGGAGAAGAGGGGUGGGAAAGUUCAUUCAUUACAUUUUUAAAAAUUAGGAUAUAAUGGACUAAUUAUAAAAUGUCAAGAUUUCACUAACACAUUCCAUGUUUCUUUUCUAUUAAGAGAAAUUGUAAUAAUUGUUGAGCUUGCUUCCUUCUUUUAAGUAGGAACCUAUGAUCUUCUAAUCUUCAUAUGGGAUGCCUUUUAUGUUGAAUAAUGUCUAAGGAGCAGAGCAAAGCUCUAAGUCACUAUUAACCCUAUAAUAAAGCAGAACACACAAAAUGAUGGAUUUUGAAGGCUACGUUAGAAAAUUACAUUUUAUUUAUUUAAUGUUUGACUAGGUUGAAAGACACAUGAUACCCAAUAUUAAAACAUACACAGUGAGUCCAUUUCCCUUCAGUCUGCUGCCCACAACCACCGAGCUUUUCUCCUCAAAGACAAUCAUCCUUAUCAUUUUAUUUUAUUUUUUCCAGAGAUAGUUUAUUAGAAGAUUCUUUUAAAAAUAUUAUUUGAAUGCUUCUGAUGACAUCAGGUUAUGAGGCUUAACCUUUCCCCACCGGGGAAAAUUUCUUGGCUCCUUUUGGGCAAAAGGGAAGAAGAUAAGCUCAGAUUUCCUUUUUCCUUCCUUCCUUCCUUCCUUCCUUCCUUCCUUCCUUCCUUCCUUCCUUCCUUCCUUCCUUCUUUCCUUCUUUCCCUCCCUCCCUCCCUCCCUCCCUCCUUCCUUCCUCUCUCUCUCUCUCUCUCUCUCUUUCUUUCUUCAGGGUCUCACUGUCACCCAGGUUUGAGUGGCACUAUCUUGGCCCCCCACAACCUCUACCUCUCGGGCUCAAGUGAUUCUCCUGCCUCAGCCUCCAAAGCAGCUGGUACCACAGGUGUGCACCACCAUGCCUCUCUAAUUUUUUGUAUUUUUGGUAGAGAUGGGUUUUCACCAUGUUGCCCAGGCUAGUCUUAAACUCUGAGCUCAGGCCAUCCACCUGCCUCGGCAUCCCAAAGUGCUGCGAUUACAGGUGAGAGCCGCUGCGCCUGGCCUCGGAUUUUCUUUAGAGAGUGACUGCCUCAUGACAACCCUGAAAGGUAGCUAGAGCCAACUCUACUUUCUAUAUAAGGAAAAUUGUGAUUCCUGGGUUUAGAGCCCCUUCCUCAUUUUCCUUGUGUUGCAGUGGUGCUCGGCCAACCCACAGGGCUUCUCUGGCACCAGCUCAAUGGCUCUAGUGUAGGUGCAAAUUGGUUUUCCUGUUUUGAAACCAUGUUCCAAAAUAGCUUGUAAGGGGCCAGAAAACUUCAAAUGUAUACUAGCAAUGCCCAGAGUUCUAACAGAAUUCUGAGUGCACGAAUACAAAUAAGCACACGACCUCCUCAGGUCUCACUGCCCAACUCUGAUGGCAGCUUGAAUGGGCUCCACAAUUCGUAAAAACUCUCAGGAGGAGAGGUUGGGCUCAUUUCUUCUAUUUAGCCACAAUAAAACACAUUAAGAAUGGUGGUGAUUUAAGACAGAUUUGCUGGGAGUGUCUGGCAAUUGUUCAUCAUCGUUGAUGCUUUUUAUCUGCAAAGUUUUUGUCAUCCUUGCCCCAUCUCCCAGUGCACCCCAUUUCGUUCUUGAGGGGGCACUUCUGGCAACAACAACGAUGAGGCAUCUGAGAUUGUCAGCUGCUCUCUCAGUUAUCGGUGGAAUUUCACUUGUUUGAGUUUUCUUAUUUGUGCACAUCUUGAUUUGGUUAUACAUGCCCCAAUUUCUUUCAGGCCUUUGCAGAUUUGGCCAUGAUGGACUUAUAGCAUUUAUUUUAGAAUUGCUUUUAAAAUACGGAUCAUAAAUAGUUUCUGAAGCAUUCAACAGAAGGACAUGUUGUUCCCUGUUUGUAUCACGAUGUCAUGUUGGAUUGUCAUUAAUAAUUGGUUUGCAUCAUCCAUGUGCUACUACCCCCACUUUCCAAGGGUAAUAAUUUUGACAUUAUUUUUAGUCCAUCUACAUAGUUCUGAAAACAACCAAGAAGAGGAGGAGUAUUCUUUUAAAUGACAUUCUUUCUGAGCAGGGGCUUAUCAUCCAUCUGUGUUCACAAAGAAUGAAGUGUUCUGUUGUUUAUCCCUGAUGCUGCAACACUGGAACAUUCUUCAUAGCUCUGAAUCAUGCCAGAUGGUGACAGGGAAAUUGUCAUAGAAACUUGGGACCACAAAUGCAUUGGUAGUUGAGGCUGGGCAACACUGGAGACCCAUUUGGAUGCUUCCAUGGGAGUGGUGUCCUGGAAGAGAGGCAAAGACCACCUUCACCACUGGAGCAAACCAUUGACAGCAGCAUGGAAGCUCUGGCCUCUGAACAUAGGACAAGGCAUUUCCAAGCAUGUUCUGGUAGGAUGUUCACAUCUGCUGGUAUGGACUGAACGUUUGCGUCUUCCCUCCAAAUUCAUAUGUUGAAGUUCCAAUUUGUAAUGUGAUGGUAUUUGGAAGUGGGGCCUUUGGGAGGUCAUUAAACUUAGAUGAAAUCAUGAGGGUGGGGCCCCAUGAUGGGAUUAGUGUCCUUAUAAGAAUAGGAAGAGAGACCAGAAGCUCACUCUUUCUCUGCCAUGUAAGGACACAGUGAGAAGGUGGCCAUCUAUAAGCCAGGAAGAAGUUCCUCAAUGGAGAACUGAAUUGGCAGUCACCUUGAUCCUGGGCUUCCUGGCCUCCAGAACU
rnacentral:lncRNA from 1 species